GCUAAGAUAGCUUAAACUCAAAGCAUGGCUCUGAAAAAACCAAAAUGGUGAUUCCACCUCUAAGCA
rnacentral:tRNA from 1 species